UCCAGGGUAGCCUAGUGGACAUGGCAUCUGCUCAGUAAGCGGAACACUGUGACAAUUUUUUGACAAUUAAAAAUGGUUUAUUGACAUGUAGUCAAUGGUCAAGAGAGUUUACAGAGUUUAAAAUAGCAGAGAAAAUAUAUACACCAGACGAGGCCUUCUCUGAAGAGACAUCUGGAUCCUAUCAGGAGCUUAGAAUCGUCUUGAGUUCAAACAGGCCCUUGCGAGUUAAGGAAUCCGUGUCCCCAGUAUGCUCGAUGACUAUGUUGAGGAACUUGACAGAACACUGUGGGUUCGAUUCCCAUCCCUGGAC